AUACAAACAGAUACACAUACAAACAUGCAAAAUUAAAUUGUUUAGGACAACAGGGCCUGAAUUUCGAUUUUUACACCAUAGAUACAAUGAGGAUUUCAAGCAAAUAAUAUUUUAUACCUAUACAAUUAAAAGUUGUGUUAGCUCAAUUUAACGUUCUGAAAUUAACUUGAUGAAUUAACUUUAUGAAAGGGUUUUUUAACAAAAAGCAAUUUAGGAAAAUGACUUUUAUUUAGCAGCACAUUUCAUUAGCGGCAGAUAAACACUAAGUGUUCCAAAACAUAUGGAGCAGCUGAACACUUUGCUGGAGGCAAGAAAAGGGCUGUCUUUACCACAGGGCAAAAUGGGCCGAUACUUUAGUCCCUGUAUUAUGUAGGGAUCCUUAGCAGCUGCCCUUUGGGCCCUGUACACCAGGGAUUUGUAACAUAUGCAACCAAUCACUAAGCAGUCAACCCAUCAAUAUUUCCUCCGGCAGCUCAUGGGUUAAUCCUGUAGCAUGGUUGAGCGAUCAGCACUUGUCUUUCCUGUGCAGAGUUAGACUCACUGGCUGGUGGUAAUUCCUGCCUCUGUUUCACUAUAAUCAUGCCAGUCAAGUGCACACUUGGUCACUAUGAAAGAGCUAUAGUGAUAAUGUACAGGCUGAGGGAAGUAAUAGGAGGAUUGCAAAGAGAAAAUUGGUGGAGGGAGAGAGUCUGAAAAACAUAAUGGGGGCUCUGGAGAGAUUAGAGAUAAGAGGGGGCAGAAAAUGAAGAAUAAUAAUUGUAAUAAUUACUGGAUUUUCCAUAAACCUUUUGGUAGCAGUAUUCAACAUAGAUGUUUCGUUUGGGCCUUUGAGAAAGAACUUGAUGGGGGUUAGUGUGUGUAGUGUGUGGGGCAGUGGUUCUUUUGACCCCUCCUGCUUACCUUUUGGCAGAAGGGGACUAUUAUCCCUGGUGGUCCAGUGGAGGGCACUUUGGACUGGAUCCUUAGUGGUCUGGUGGAGGGUAAGCUGGAGAAGGUGCCUGGUGGUUCGGUGGUGGAGCAUUGAGGUCUGCACUGAUAUUAGCUGCAGAUCACUUUAACAGCUCCC